GCCGAGUGUGUUGUUGCUCGUGUAGUCCCAGCUACUCAGGAGGCUGAGACAGGAGGAUCACUUGAGCCCAGAAGUUUGACGCUAUAACGAGCUCUGCCAAUUGGGUGUCCACACUAAGUUCGGUAUCGAUAUGGUGACCUCCUGGGAGGAGGGACCACCAAGAUGCCUAAAAAGGGGUGAACCAGCCCAGGUCAGAAACAGAGCAGGUGAAAACCCCUGUGCUGAUUAGCAGUGAGAUCAUGCCUGUGAAGAACACACUGCGCUCCAGCAGCAACAUAAAAAGACCCUGUCU
rnacentral:SRP_RNA from 10 species